UUCUUUUUUAGGCAAUUCAUUUGAAAUUUUUUAAUAAUGUUUGGCAUAAAACAAGGCAGGGCCCAGGCAAAGGCUCCUCCGAGCUAUUGUUUUCGAGCAAAAAAACUAAAAACAACAACAGAAAAACGCUCCCUAAAUAAGGGUAAGGGCCCAGCUGCUUCAUGCUUCUAUUCGUCAACAACAAACAACGGACAACUUUCGUUAUUGUACACUGGCCCAUAAAAACACAACAAACAACGAACGGCCCAGGAAGAAGUAGCGACAAUAUAGAACGACCACACCUUUUGUACACAGAUGGAUGACGUCAUGUGAAUGAGACCAAUUUAUAUUUCAUUCAGAUGAGUU
rnacentral:lncRNA from 1 species